AGUGAACGCUGGCGGUAGGCCUAACACAUGCAAGUCGAACGGCAGCACAGUAAGAGCUUGCUCUUACGGGUGGCGAGUGGCGGACGGGUGAGGAAUACAUCGGAAUCUACUUUUUCGUGGGGGAUAACGUAGGGAAACUUACGCUAAUACCGCAUACGACCUACGGGUGAAAGCAGGGGAUCCUCGGACCUUGCGCGAUUGAAUGAGCCGAUGUCGGAUUAGCUAGUUGGCGGGGUAAAGGCCCACCAAGGCGACGAUCCGUAGCUGGUCUGAGAGGAUGAUAGGCCGCACUGGAACUGGGACACGGUCCAGACUCCUACGGGAGGCAGCAGUGGGGAAUAGUGGACAAUGGGGGCAAGCCUGAUCCAGCGGUACCGCGUGGGUGAAGAAGGCGUUCGGGUUGUAAAGACGUUUUGUUGGGAAAGAAAAGCAUCAGGUUAAUACCCCGCUGUUCUGACGGUACCCAAAGAAUAAGCACCGGCUAACUUCGUG
rnacentral:rRNA from 1 species